rnacentral:rRNA from 1 species
AACGAACGCUGGCGGCAUGCCUAACACAUGCAAGUCGAACGAGACCUUCGGGUCUAGUGGCGCACGGGUGCGUAACGCGUGGGAACCUGCCCUUAGGUUCGGAAUAACUCCCCGAAAGGGGUGCUAAUACCGGAUAAUGUCUUCGGACCAAAGAUUUAUCGCCUUUGGAUGGGCCCGCGUGGGAUUAGCUAGUUGGUAGGGUAAAAGCCUACCAAGGCGACGAUCCAUAGCUGGUCUGAGAGGAUGAUCAGCCACACUGGGACUGAGACACGGCCCAGACUCCUACGGAAGGGAGCAGGGGUGAAUAUUGGACGAUGGGCGAAAGCCUGAUCCAGCAAGGCCGCGUGAGUGAUGAAGGCCUUAGGGUUGUAAAGCUCUUUUACCCGGGAUGAUAAGGACAGUACCGGGAGAAUAAGCUCCGGCUAACUCCGU